rnacentral:misc_RNA from 1 species
GUGAAGAACGUAGCGAAAUGCGAUAAGUAAUGUGAAUUGCAGAAUUCAGUGAAUCAUCGAAUCUUUGAACGCACAUUGCGCCCGCUAGUAUUCUGGCGGGCAUGCCUGUCCGAGCGUCAUUUCAACCCUCAAGCCCCCGGGCUUGGUGUUGGGGAUCGGCGAGCCUCCGCGCCCGCCGUCCCCUAAAUCUAGUGGCGGUCUCGCUGUAGCUUCCUCUGCGUAGUAGCACACCUCGCACUGGGAAACAGCGCGGCCACGCCGUUAAACCCCCAACUUCUGAACGUUUGACCUCGGAUCAGGUAGGAAUACCCGCUGAACUUAAGCAUAUCAAUAAGCGGAGGA